rnacentral:lncRNA from 10 species
ACUGGGGAUAAUAAAUAUACAUAACAAAACCAUAAAUUACAUUUAAUGACAUGCUUAAAUAUGAAAUAAUUACUAGCAUUAUAUUCAUCCUGGCUAGAGUUACUGAAUUUACCUUGUGAAAAAUAUAGAACAGUGUGAGGCAGAAAUCAUUUGACAAGAAAUUAACAAUGCUGAUUUUUACACACCUGUCUUAGAUUUUAAAAUAAGUUAAAAGAAAAAAAAGAUAGAAAAUUGCUUCACAUCUGGAGAAUUUUUCUGGGAUUUACUCUUAUUUUAUAUUUGUUUUGGGUAUUUAUUGACCAUUCUUAAGACAUUACAUUUAUUUCUCUAUAUAAAAAUGCAUCCUUGUUAGACAUAUUUAAAACAUUUUAGGGCUUUAUUAAAGUAUAUUUUCCAAAACUGUUUAUAUUUAUGUUGUACAAUUUAGUGUUUUGAUAUAUGCAUACAUUCUGAAAUGAUUGAAUCAAGAUAAUUAACACAUCCAUCACCUCAAAUUCCCUUUUUUGUGGUGAGAAUAGUUAACAUACACUCUCUUACCAAUUUUUAGUAUACAAUACAUUGUUGUUACUGUACAAUACACAUACAGCAUUUAUUUCAACUAAUGAGAAAUUGGUACCCCUUAAUCAACAUUUCACUGUCCCCCUUACCCACGUGGCCUUUGCCAAUCAUCAUUUUACUAUCUGUUUCUUUGAGUUUGACAUUUUAUAUUCCACAUGUAAGUGAGAUAAUACAGUAUCUGUCUUUCUGUUUCUAGCUUCAUUUAAUUAGCAUAAUGUUCUCCUCUUUCACCCAUGUAGUCACGAAUGACAGAAUGUCUUUUUUGGGAGGCUGAAUAGUAUUCCAAUUUGUGUAUGUGUUGUGUGCAUGUGCAUGUAUAUUGCUAAGCAAUAUAUCUGAGACAGGUCUUAGUCAAUUUAGGAAGUUUAUUUUGCCAAAGUUAAGGGUAUGUACUUGUGAUACAGCCUCAGGAGGUCCUGACAAAGGGUGCCCAAGGUGGUUCAGGUACAACCUGGUUUCAUACAAUUUGGGGAGACAUGAAACACCAAUCAAUAUAUGUAAGAUAAACCUUCAUUAGGUCCAGAAAGCUGGGACAACUGGAAGCAAAGGCAGGGCGAUUUGAAGUGGGGAGGUGGCUUCCAGGUCAUAGGUAGAUAAGGGGUGAAUGGUUGCAUUCUUUUGAGUUUCUGAUUAGCUUUUCCAAAGGAGGCAAUCAGGUAUGCAUUUAUCUCAGUGAGCAGAGAGAUGACUUCGAAUAGGACAGGAGGCAGGUUUACCCUAAGCAGUU